AACGAACGCUGGCGGCAGGCCUAACACAUGCAAGUCGAGCGAGGUAGCAAUACCUAGCGGCGGACGGGUUAGUAACGCGUGGGAACGUGCCCAAAGGUACGGAAUAGCCUCGGGAAACUGAGAGUAAUACCGUAUGUGCCCUUCGGGGGAAAGGUUUAUCGCCUUUGGAUCGGCCCGCGUUGGAUUAGGUAGUUGGUGGGGUAAUGGCCUACCAAGCCGACGAUCCAUAGCUGGUUUGAGAGGAUGAUCAGCAACACUGGGACUGAGACACGGCCCAGACUCCUACGGGAGGCAGCAGUGGGGAAUCUUAGACAAUGGGGGAAACCCUGAUCUAGCCAUGCCGCGUGAGCGAUGAAGGCCUUAGGGUUGUAAAGCUCUUUCAGCUGGGAAGAUAAUGACGGUACCAGCAGAAGAAGCCCCGGNUAACUCCGUG
rnacentral:rRNA from 1 species